UACGGAAGGCAGCAGUGGGGAAUAUUGCACAAUGGGCGCAAGCCUGAUGCAGCCAUGCCGCGUGUAUGAAAAAGGCCUUCGGGUUGUAAAGUACUUUCAGUCGUGAGGAAGGUGUUAAGGUUAAUAACCUUAGCAAUUGACGUUAGCGACAGAAGAAGCACCGGCUAACUCCGUGCCAGCAGCCGCGGUAAUACGGAGGGUGCGAGCGUUAAUCGGAAUUACUGGGCGUAAAGGGCACGCAGGCGGUUAAUUAAGUUGGAUGUGAAAUCCCCGGGCUUAACCUGGGAAUGGCAUUCAAGACUGGUUAGCUAGAGUCUUGUAGAGGGGGUAGAAUUCCAUGUGUAGCGGUGAAAUGCGUAGAGAUGUGGAGGAAUACCGGUGGGCGAAGGCGGGCCCCUGGGACAAAGGACUGACGCUCAUGUGCGAAAGCGUGGGGAGCAAACAGGGAUUAGAUACC
rnacentral:rRNA from 1 species